UCUUCUGGGACAACUCGAACUGAGAUCAGGCUGAAACACUUUACUGAACUCUCCACAUCCUAUUCACCCUCGGGAGUGCCCGCGUUCACUUUAUGGUGAUGAAAAUUGCAAUAAAAUGAAUAAGGCACCCAGCCUUCGCCCCGUACAGGGGAGGAAAACCGAGGUUCCGGGCCAGAAUGGCCCGGCUAGGCCCGCCUUCUGUAACAGUCCACCCCUCAAACCGACCCCGCCGUGUAGACAAUUUUCUAUUGCGUCCACAGGAUUCUACUCGAGUUGCUCUUGUCUUUAGAGCACACCUUGUUUUCCCAUUUUCGAGCAAACUAAGACUAAAGGUCAUGCUUAUGCUUGGCACUUUCGCACCGGGUAGCUAGGAAAUCUAGAACCCUCAAACUUCGAUCUCCACAGUCUUUUCAAUGGUGUCCCUAUUGACCGAACACCGUCGGUUCGCAAGUAUCGCUGCAACGAAAAACUAGGAAGCUACAGCCGAGAAGGAUAGUAACACUUCGUCUUAAGUGGUUCACAACCUAACAAGUGGGUGGUUAUCCCUUGCACUCGACCCAAAUCUGGCAGCACUCUGUCCAAUCAAAAUGGGAUGACUACUGUCACAGCGCUAUCAUUAAGUUGGAUCAUGCUCUCCUUGGCAACUAAGUGUGUUAACCAGUAGCGCGAACAACUUUUCGGUCACCGCGCUUCGAUGGCACACGGCCUAAUACUGACUUGCGGAGAUUCAGUCUUAGGUUCGAUCGUACGCUGCGGACGCGGGCGGCGGGCGGGGCUGGGUGCAAUCCCCGCGAACGCGGGGGUUCCCGGGCACGGUAACCGAUUCGGCCAGGCCGGCUGCACGGCGCCGGCCGGCGGAGCUUCGAGGGAAGGGUUGCCCGCCACCCGACUUAGGAAACGUCUGCUGAAUUUAUGCGCUGCCCCGUAACAUUCACCGUCUCACCGGAACGACGGUGCUAGGUGACUCUAGGUCGGGGUACAGCGUGCCUAAGCAGGGAGGGGG
rnacentral:rRNA from 1 species